rnacentral:sRNA from 1 species
AUGUACCCCCUUACACUCCGGUUCCUCCGCGCCGUCCGCAACCACCUGACGGCUGCUCGCUACGUUUUGUUAGCC